rnacentral:rRNA from 1 species
UACGGAGGGUGCAAGCGUUAUCCGGAAUCAUUGGGUUUAAAGGGUCCGCAGGCGGAUUUAUAAGUCAGUGGUGAAAGCCUACAGCUCAACUGUAGAACUGCCAUUGAUACUGUAAGUCUUGAAUUCGGUCGAAGUGGGCGGAAUAUGACAUGUAGCGGUGAAAUGCUUAGAUAUGUCAUAGAACACCGAUAGCGAAGGCAGCUCACUAGGCCUGGAUUGACGCUCAGGGACGAAAGCGUGGGGAGCAAACAGGAUUAGAAACCCGAGUAGUCC